rnacentral:rRNA from 1 species
CUACGGGCCGCUGCAGUGAGGAAUAUUGCACAAUGGGGGGAACCCUGAUGCAGCAACGCCGCGUGGAGGAUGACGCAUUUCGGUGUGUAAACUCCUUUUAUAUGUCAAGAAAAUGACGGUAGCAUAUGAAUAAGCACCGGCUAACUCCGUGCCAGCAGCCGCGGUAAUACGGAGGGUGCAAGCGUUACUCGGAAUCACUGGGCGUAAAGGACGCGUAGGCGGGUUGGAAAGUCAGGUGUGAAAUCCUACAGCUUAACUGUAGAACUGCACUUGAAACUUCUAAUCUAGAGUAUGGGAGGGGGAGAUGGAAUUAGUGGUGUAGGGGUAAAAUCCGUAGAUAUCACUAGGAAUACCUAAAGCGAAGGCGAUCUCCUGGAACAUUACUGACGCUAAGGCGUGAAAGCGUGGGGAGCAAACAGGAUUAGAUACCGUGUAGUUC